GGCCGUGUGGUGUAGUGGUAGCAUACUUGCUUUGGGAAAAAAUUCCUUUCUCAACACACAAAAAAGUGCAAAUCAAUUUGUUGCAAGUGGUCCCAGGUUCGAGCCCUGGCUCGGCCC